CUUGUUUGGGGUCCUCUGCCAGGAGAUGGGGUCAGGGCACGAACAGCUGCUUCUGCACACUGAAGUUCGCUGGCUCUCCAGGGGGCGGGUGUUACAGCGGUUGUAUGAGCUGCGAGAGGAGGUGAAGUGGUUUUUGACAGAAAUCAAAUCAGAUCUGGCGAAGCAUCUGGAUGACACUAUGUGGCUUGCAUCUCUGUCCUAUUUGGUCGAUAUAUUUGACCGCUUGAAUGGCCUCAACCUGUCUUUGCAAGGCCGCGAAACUCACAUUUUGCUCCUUGCGGACAAAGUGCACGCCUUCACACAAAAACUAGACCUCUGGCAUGGCCGCAUCAGUCGAGGGAACUGCGACAUGUUCCCCAGCCUUGCAGACUUUAUCACCGAUGCAGGCGCGUCACAUGAUUUCUCCUCCCUAUUUCAGUCAGCGUCUGAGCACCUGUCAGCAAUGAGAAAACAAUUUGCGACUGACAAAGGGGGAGUGA